GGUCUUGAUCUCCUGACCUCGUGAUUCUCCCACCUCAGCCUCCCAAAGUGCUGGGAUUACAGGCAUGAGCCACCACACCUGGCUCAAGCAUUUUUUUAAGCCUCAGAAAAAAGGUACUUAUACAGUGGGGAAAAACAACAUAAUUUUAUAUGUACAGUACAUUUUUAACUGGAAUAUGCCUGAUUUCUUAUGAAGUAUUGUACAGAUAUUUGGUAGCACACUGAGUAUUUUGAGCUGAAUUGAUUAACUGAUGAGAUACAUCUUUGAAUAUAUAUAUUUUUCUUUCAUCACACAUUCCAGUUGGAUAUUCAUUUUCAAACAGCACCCUUGCAAAGUCUAGGCAGAUAUUCCCUCCCCUCAUUAUUUUUUCUAGGUACACAGUCUAUCUAUAAACCAUGUAAGACAAAUACUACUAGCAUUCUAUUUUACAGAAUUAACUCUCAUUAUUGGAGAACCAUUCCAAUUAGUAGUUAAGAUGAGAGACACCUGUUCUUCAGGCGACUGCCAGCAGGGAUAAAAGGCAAUACUUGUUGGAUGGAUUUUAAAAACACAGAGAUGAUGUUGAAAGCAACCAUAGUGGGUAAAAAUGGUUAUUUUGAAAACUCAUUAACCAGCUGCCAUGGAGUGUUCAGUUGAUUGAUUUUACUAUUUUUUAAACAAGAUUUUUGAUAUCAGUAUAGCCAAAUAUCUGAUUUUUUAAGUUCUUUCUGUAUGUGACCAUGUAAAUCUAAUAUCUCUAAAGCUAUUUUCCAGUCAUGAUAUGAAGAUUUAUGCAUAAGUACAUCCAGUUUGAAAGUUACUGUGAUCUCACUUGUUUCCAGGAAGUCGCUGCAACAAGGAGGGGUAAAGCCUAAAUUGCUCCAGGGCAAUGUGAGUUAUGUUUUACUUUUCAUCAUCAUUUGGAUGCUUUCAAAUAUAUUACCUCAGACUCUUUGAUGGUCAGAACUGGCCACAGAUGGGUCUAUUCAGUUGAUCUUCAUCAUCCAUGCUUUUUCUGGAAUUCUUUUCUCCAUGCGUAGGGUUCCUUUCUUUAUAUCUUUUUCUUUAUAACAAUUGUUUUAUCUUAUUGCAAGCUCCUGCAGCGAGAAGCCCUGAUUUGACAAGUCAUGUAACAUGGCAUGAAAUCCAGGAUCCGGGGGGAGAGCAGGACACAGGUGGCCACCAAGUGUGGCCUCAGCCCCUGUGCUCUUUCAUCCUACCCUGGUGCUUCUCAGCCUGGUUCAAAGCUUGGGUCAGGUUCGAUGUUCAAUACGUGAAGGUGUGUCUCCACGUGAAGAUGCCUUUGCAAUUUUGCAGUAUGCCUCUUGCUUUUCACUCUCAGCCUAGCCCCUUGAAAACUGUGUUGCUGACUUAGGCACUUCUUAUAUCAAGUCACUCCAUUCACCUGUUUUCUUACUGUCACAAGAGUGGAUCUGAUCUCAGUUUGUUUUGGGAAUAGAAGACAAACUUACAGUCUUGUAGUUUCUUUUCUUACUCUAUAAAUAGUGAUUCCACUGUUCCCCCUACUGCAUAGUGUUUCUCUCCUGUUACUGGAAUUCUUGAUGCUUUAGUGACUGAAUUCUUUUUUAUUGCAUUUGAUACUUGUUCCAGCAUGGUGUUCACCGAGUCUUAUUUCCAUACUGAGAAGAUCUGGUUUCAGAAGCACAUCAGGUUUCCUUAGAACAUCAACCCUCAGCUGAUUCAUUGUUGCAAGUGUCUAAUCAAGGGAAUGGAAGAUGAGGAGAAUGGUGGCUCUGGGAAUUUACUUUCGUUGUGGACCAGACUUUUUCUCAGCUAGGAAAAAGGGCUUGCCUGGGCUAGGAGCUAUGCAGCGGGCCGCAUUAUAGAAGACGUUCAAUGGGGUUCAGAGACACAGAACUCCACAGGACUCCCAGUUAAGAUGGAGGGGAAAUUACCUUAGGAAAGUCUGAAUCACUUUCCCCAGAGGUGGGAGGUAAGUGCCUGCUGGUGCCAGGUGCUUUUGCUUUACUUCUCACAGCAGAGUAAACAUUCAUGGAGGGAGAAAACAUGGGCUUGGAAGUCACAGAGCCUGAGUUUGAAUCUUGGUGCUAUCACUUGGUAGCUGUGUGACCUUAGAUAUGGAACCAAAUCCAUCUGAGCACCUGUUUUUCCAUUUGGAAAAUGGGAUAAUACAUGUCUUCUUCAGUUUCCAUGAGGUGUAGAAGGGAUGUAAGAAGCACUUGAUACAUGACACCUACUCAGUUGAUUUUCCUCUCCUCUAAGCCAUCUAUUACGCUUUCCCAGUCUCCUUUCCUCAAGUGCCAAGUGUCUUCAUGUUGCCCUCCUGAGUCUCAAGUCUUACACUCUUGCCAGACUGUUUCUCUGCUAUGUCCUCAAGUCUUCAGAAUGACUCUUUCCUUUCCUCCUCCAAUAAUAACCUCCCCUUUCCAACGUAGCCAGGCUCGAUGUUGCCGUUACCAUCUAAUUAAAGAAACUGAUGCUCCUGGUGAACUUGACAGGGCAAAGCCUCCCAGAUGCUCAUGCUUUGCCCUUUCCAGUCUGCAAAGGAGCCGAU